rnacentral:lncRNA from 1 species
AUGUAUAAUUUAUUACUCAUGGUGUUCAAGAACACUGAGAGAUCAUUCUCAUAUCUUCCAGAUGAAAAGCAUGAGCUACCUUGGAUACCAUUACUGAGGAUGAACUAAGUGUGUUGAAUUACCAGUCUGGCUCCUCUCCUUUUUCCCGGUGGAAUUGGCUCCAGCCAUUGAACAGGCUAUUGAUUCAUCCAAGGUCAUAUAAUCUAAUGAACAUCAGAGACAGAAUGAGAAUUAUUGCCAAAGACGACUCCUGCAAAGGAAGAUACGUGAGUUUUGAUGAACACACACUUGGUAAGAUAGUAUUUUCUUAGUCUGUAUCUUUGUCCAUCCAAAUAGAAUUCCUACUUAGGGUUGGAUUUCAGAGCAGUCUUUAAACCCAAAAGAGCCCAUGUGAUCAUUAGCAGGAUAUCCAAUCAGACAUAUUUUCUUGAGAAAGAUCUGCACAUUUUCUCCUGUCCACUACCAAGGAUAGGCACAUUCUCUGGAAUUCACACCAUUACACAUUCCAAACAUAGCAAAUAAAUCAUUAAUUAUUCACAGGAAGAAUAGUUCCAAGUUCUCUUCCUUCUUUGGGUGAUAUGACAGAACAGUGAAAAACAAAAAAAUCCUGGGUACUUAGUAGUUGAGCAGUACCUGAUCUGAUAGCCGAUAUCGCCCUCGUCACGGGCGAUCUAACCAUAUUGUUUUAUCAUUUCCUGAGAGAAAAGAUGGGGGGGGACUAUGGAGUUUUUUUGUUUGUUUGUUUGUUUUUCUUUAACUGAGGGAAGAAGUAAGUAGCUCUUAAACUUUCCUGAACCAACCAAAUAAAUUUGAAUUGUAAUUAAGAAAAAUUGAAUAGCAACUCUAAGUAAAAGUGAGUGAGCAAAACUGAACAGUCUUCCAAUCUUGAAGUGUGUGCUUAUUCCUUAAAAAGGUUCUGAUGUAUGCAUAGGAGAUUGUAGUGACAAUUUGAAAAAAGGAUUGGACUUUGGAGGAAUGCUGCUUGAGCAUAUUCGAAUGAAAAGUAAGCAAUCAAGUCUAGUUAUUGCUGGAAAAAAGAAGAAAGAAAGAAUUUAAAGGUGAAAAAUUGGUCCAGUGGAAAAAAACACCACACAACGAUUCUCCUACUAGGUGUGGGCUUUCAUCUUUCUAUUUUGCAGUAACUUGGACAUAGAAAGUAUUUAAUUUGUUUUAUGGCAGAAAAUUCAUUUA